UCCUACGGGGGGCAGCAGUGAGGAAUAUUGGUCAAUGGUCGGGAGACUGAACCAGCCAAGCCGCGUGAGGGAUGAAGGUACAGAGUAUCGUAAACCUCUUUUGUCGGGGAACAAAGGCGGGGACGUGUCCCCGGAUGAGUGUACCUGAAGAAAAAGCAUCGGCUAACUCCGUGCCAGCAGCCGCGGUAAUACGGAGGAUGCGAGCGUUAUCCGGAUUUAUUGGGUUUAAAGGGUGCGCAGGCGGUCUGUUAAGUCAGCGGUCAAAGCCCGGGGCUCAACCCCGGCCCGCCGUUGAAACUGGCAGG
rnacentral:rRNA from 1 species